rnacentral:lncRNA from 1 species
AUGUUCCCUGAGUAUUUGUUAAGUGAAGUUGAACACACACCUGCAGGAGGCUUUGGUUACAUCAUUUGUUCACUCAUUCAUUCAACACACACAGCAAGUCUCUGUGCACCAGACACUCCUAAAAUCCAGAGCGCGGGGCAGCCGCCUCCAUACCCGGGGAAGGCUCCGGUGCCCAGGACAUCUCGGGAUGCUCUGUGGUCCCCGCGGCACAGAGACAGCGCAGAAGGGUUCUGGUGGCACCGAGACACGGAGGCCCCACACUCCCAGGCCUCAAAGAGCCACCUUGUGCUCUGGGCUUUCAUGACGGCGCCCCCCGCCCAGCCACCCCCGGCAGCCGCGAGCCACUCCCCUCUCAAGACUGCUAUUGACACGGCCCCGACGGACGCCACCAGGCUGGGCAGCGAGGCUGGCGGCUCCCCGCGAAGUGAGUUCCACGCAUACUUCUGGGUUUCAGUCAGCCAGCUCUGGGCACUGGGGCAGCGGGCCCCAGCCAGACCCAGGGAGCAGGAGGGGGUGGCAGGGCCAAAGAGGCCAAGGCCCAGGCCGGGGCAGCAUUCCAGCGGGGCCGAGACCCUCAGCCAGGCCUCCCCUUCCAGGCAGGGGCAGGAAUGGGAGCCAGGAAGGCCAGGGUGGGCGGUCCUGGGAGGGCCAGAGGUCAAGCACGCCUUACGGAGGUGCUGGGCAGUGGGCUGUGUGGGCCCCUCCUCCUGCAGCCGGACCCCCUCACAGCUGGGACCUGAGUGGGGAAGAGGACAGCCGGGGAGAGCGGGGAGCCCCUCCCACAUGCCUCAAGGGGUCUGCGCAUCCAGGACGCACAUCUGGGCCUCCAAGUGGCCUUUGUCAGCCCAGGCCCUCCCACAUCCAGGUGGUCCCUCCUGCCCUCUCUCCUGGGACGCCCACCCCAAGCCCCGAAGCCUCUGCAGACCCAUCCCGAGCUUCCGGUUCUACGGAACAGCCAGCAAGGCCAGUGCAGCUCCAAACAGGGUGACCAGGCCACAGAGCUCCCGUUCCCCGCCCGCAGGUCCUCCAUUCCCGCCCAGCGCAGGGCCUGGCCUGGCCCACUCACGCCCGAAAGCCCUCGGAUUAAUCCAACUGUCUGUAGAGUCUCAGGGAAGAUCUGAUGAGGAGAUUAAGUAA